rnacentral:rRNA from 1 species
UACGUAGGUGGCAAGCGUUGUCCGGAUUUACUGGGCGUAAAGAGCGCGCAGGCGGUCGGAUAAGUCGAAUGUGAAAGCCCCCGGCUUAACUGGGGAGGGUCAUUCGAUACUGUUCGACUGGAAGGCAGGAGAGGGAAGCGGAAUUCCCGGUGUAGUGGUGAAAUGCGUAGAUAUCGGGGGGAACACCAGUGGCGAAGGCGGCUCACUGGCCCGGUACUGACGCUGAGGUGCGAAAGCGUGGGGAGCAAACAGG